rnacentral:lncRNA from 10 species
CUGGCCACCCCACCAUCUGGGAAGUGAGAAGCACCUCUGCCCAGCCCCCCCGACCCUCUGGGCCGCUGUGCAACCUUCCAAGUGUGAAGUGACAGCCUUGUAUGGGAUCUUUCUGCCUUCCCCAAGUUUCCAUUUUCAACAUUAAAGUUUACUUAGAAAGAAAGAAGGAAAGAAAAAGAAAGAAAGAAAGAAAGAAGGAAGGAAGGAAGGAAGGAAGGAAGGAAGGAAGAAAGAAAGAAAGAAAGAAAGAAAGAAAGAAAGAAAGAAAGAAAGAAAGAAAGAAAGGAAGGGAAAGAAAGGGGCUAUGAAGCCAUGAAAAGCCAUGGAAGUGGCCAGGCACAGUGGCUCACACCUGUAAUCCCAGCACUUGGAAGGCUGAGGCAGGUGGAUCACCUGAGGCCAGGAGUUCGAGACCAGCCUGACCAAAAUCGGGAAACCCUGUCUCUACUAAAAAUACAACAAAAUAGCCAGGUGUGGUGGUGGGCACCUGUAAUCCCAGCUACUUGGGAGCCUGAGGCAGGAGAAUCACUUGAACCUGGGAGGCAGAGGUUGCAGUGAGCCGAGAUCGCACCAUUGCACUCCAGCCUGGGCAACAAGAGUGAAACUCCAUCUCAAAAAAAAAAAAAAAAGGCAUGGAAGCACUCAAAAUGCAUCUCACGAGUGGAAGAAGCAAGUCUGAAAAGGCUACAGACAGUGUGAUCCCAACUACACGACCCUGUGGGGCAGGGCAAACUACGGAAACAGUGAAAGGAGCGGAGGUUGCCAGGAAUGAGAGGGAGACAGGGAUAAGCAGGUAGGGCAUGGGGAUCUCAGGGCAGUAACACUGCCCUGGAUGAUGCUACCAUGGGGGUCCCUGUCCUUGCACAAUGUCCAAUGCCAAGAGGGGCCCCUCAUGGAAACCGUGGACUCUGGGUGGCCCUGAUGUGGCUGGUGGACAGUGAUAGAGGGGAGGGUGUGCAUGGUGGGGCCAUGCGGCUGUGGAAAAUCUCUGCACCUUUCAAUCAGUUCAACUCUGAACCUAGAACUGCUCUAAAAAUAAAGUCUAUUAAUUUUGUUAAGGCAGAUUGAGAGGUACCAUUAAGGAUACGCAAGAAGUAGGGGGCCAGGAGUGUGUAGGGGCCCCAUCCUGUCUGGGAGACUCAGCAGUCACCCAGCCAAGCCAAGCUCAGUGUCUGUGUCUGCAGGGGGUAUCCCUGACAGAGUCCCAGGAGUGUCUUGGAAAGGGGAGGUCACGAAAGGCCUUUGUAAGUCAGGGUCCUGGGUCUAAGCAGUUUGUGGAGAUGGACUGGGACUGGGUGAACCUAGUGACACAGCAGAAUGGCACUGGGGACGCAGUGAGGCGUGGGUUUCAAGCAUGUCCUGGUGAGAGAGCAGUCAUUUCACGAGCAAGCAGCUCACCCAGUGAGGUGAGCUAUUGUUCAGAUAAAUGGAUUCCAGGAAGUUCCUGAAACAAGAAAGUCCUUUGCAACUGUGUCUUCCUGAGCAAGGAUUUUCUGGAAUGGCCUGGUCAUAGUAUCACGUGCAGUUGUAGCUCUCGGUUGGAUGAGCUAUGGGCUGGCGGUUUGUUCUUAGGCCCUAGAGGAUGGACCCAGGGACUGGCAAGGGCAAAACCUGAGGCUCCAAAGAGCUCAGAGGAGAGCAGGGAGUCAAUCACAUGAGGCCUCAGUUUUCCCAUCUAUAAAAUAGAUGGUGGCCUGCGUGGAUUCAUAGGGCCCUUCUAGCUCUCCUGGAUGAGUCUGUUUGAAUCCAGGCCCUGGGGAGGAGGGAUGGGUGGGGGCUGGGAAGUCGCCCAUGGGAGAUCACAGUGGAGCAGUGACAGAGGCAGAGUUGGAUCCAAAUGUCCCAACGCCCAGUCCAGCCUGCUCCCUGGCCCCUCUCCCUGACCAAGAAGGGUGGGGAGCCAGGAGUGGGGCUGGGCCUUCCAGAGACACAACCACCUCAUCCCUCCCUACAGCCCACCAGUCUGAGACCCUGGUUCCUCUGCCUCUCUCGGCUCCUUGUCCUGUGGCCAGCCCAUGCCUGUCACCUCAUGGCCAGCCCCUGGCUGUCACCACCUCUCCUUGCAUCCCCCUGGGCCUAACCCACUCCCUCAAAUCCAUUCCCUGUGCUGGGAAGAUCCAUCUUAGCAAAACUCAAGUCUGAUCCUGUCACUCACCUGCUCAAAAACCCCCAUGGCUCCCCAUUGCCCUGUAGACAAAGACUCUCCUCACCGUAUCGGAAUCCUAGCUGCCUA